rnacentral:rRNA from 1 species
AUUGAACGCUGGCGGCAUGCCUUACACAUGCAAGUCGAACGGUAACAGGUCUUCGGAUGCUGACGAGUGGCGAACGGGUGAGUAAUGCAUCGGAACGUGCCCAGUUGUGGGGGAUAACUGCUCGAAAGAGCAGCUAAUACCGCAUACGACCUGAGGGUGAAAGCGGGGGAUCGCAAGACCUCGCGCAAUUGGAGCGGCCGAUGUGAGAUUAGGUAGUUGGUGGGGUAAAGGCCUACCAAGCCGACGAUCUGUGGUUGGGCUGAGAGGACGACCAGCCACACGGGGACUGAGACACGGCCCAGACUCCUACGGGAGGCAGCAGUGGGGAAUUGUGGACAAUGGGCGCAAGCCUGAUCCAGCAAUGCCGCGUGCAGGAAGAAGGCCUUCGGGUUGUAAACUGCUUUUGUCAGGGAAGAAAUCCUCUGGGUUAAUACCCCGGGGGGAUGACGGUACCUGAAGAAUAAGCACCGGCUAACUACGUGCCAGCCGCCGCGGUAAUAC